AGUGACGCGCAUGAAUGGAUGAACGAGAUUCCCAC
rnacentral:piRNA from 2 species